GACAGAGUUCUCCCCAUUGCCUGAGUCUCAGCCUAGUUCCUCUAAUUAGUGCACUUUCUCAGGUGGUGGCCUGAAGAAUGAAGCCGUCCAGCUUCCAGAGAAAGGUUAGGGGAUUAAUAGGACACCGGCCCAGAGGCAUCUCUGUGGCGGGACCAAUCCGCAUCGUGGUUGCCGUAGAAACCUGACGUCAUGAAUGAGACUGAGACGCUAUUCGAAAGGAGACCGACCUGCUAUCCUGAGAAGAGCAGCGUCCAGCCUACAGCUCUUCCUCUGGUGACUGAGCUCAUAUUAAGUGUCUGAAGAAGACAGUUUCUGAAGAUGUGUGUCAUAAUGGCUGCUGAAGCUUCUAUUCCAGAUCUGAAGAGCAAGCAAUGCUCAGGAGGCCCCCCAACACUUCCAUCUCUGUUGGACACAAAUGUGGCAGUUUCCUACUGCACUUCUGAAAUAGUCCAGUAGAAUGAACAGUAAGGCAUUGGCUAAAUGACAAUGGGAGUCAUCAAAUCUGCAUCCCUAUACUACAACAUCAGUGGAGCACAGAACCUUCUUUGGAAAAUCUUGGAGACAGAGGUAAAAAAAUAUAUUCCAAAACAACUCUACAGUUGUGAUACAGUCAAGUUCAGAGUCUGCAUUCCUCCUUUCCAGCUACUUCACUCUGGCCAAGAGGUGGCAUUGACACUAUGCCUAUGUAUAUUUUAAUGAAAAGCCACCUCUUUGUAAAGACCUUUGAUAAUGCAGGUGUGUUGGUUCCACCUUGUGACAGAAUCUUGAACUGCAACUUGAAAACAGCUGAGCAGGAAAGUGGGAGGGAAGGACUCUGACCAAGUCUAUCCUACAAAACUUUCUGGAAGCUUGUGUAUAAAAGGGGACAUUGCCAGUGUGUAGGUAUACUGAGGACAUUCGCACAGAAAAUGAAGUUUAUCAUUGGGAAGAGAAAGCUCUAUGUGAGAUGACCAAAUAAAUCUUACUUUUACACUUUGAAACUUCUGGAUAAUUGCUGGAGACAUACAAACCAAAAAAGUAUUCACAGUAAUUACAAUCUUUGGAAAGCAGAUUUCCCCUUAAUUAAUAUGGGCAUCAUUCCAGGAGAAUAUGUUUCUGAUUGCAUUUUGAAUUUUCAACAAAAUUUCAGGCUUUUCCCCCCUGAUUCGGGUUUUCACUGUGUGGAUACAUCAAAACUAAAUUAGGAUCAAAGUAAUGAAAAUUUAGAACCUUUUAUAGUUUUCCAAUGACAAAUGAUAGUGUACCAAACACCCUAUUAUCACAAUAUAUGUACAUACACACACCAUGUAAUACAUAUAUGCUUAUGCAAAUAUGUUUGUAAGCAUUUCUGUUGACCUAAGGACUUCUAAGUGCUCUUACUCAUUUAUAUUCCUAACAGUGAAGCAUAAAAGUACCUAUGUCUCCACACAUGAGAGACAAUGGGAAUCAUUGCUAAUGUGAUAGUGAAAGGAUCUUAUAUCAUUGUCAUUCUGACUUGUUUUUGCUACCAUCUGGAAUUCUAUGUAUGUAAAAUAAUAUUCACAACCCUGUGUCACUUAGAGUGUUUUAAUAGUCCCUGUUGUCAACCCUUUGCCAUGUGAGAUAAAUAGGUUAUAUUUGAGCCUAGCAAACUGUCUUGUAAAAGUAUCAUAUGAUAACAGAGCUUGGUUUCUAUAGGAGUAUGUGGAAUGUGUGUGU